rnacentral:rRNA from 1 species
UAAUACGGGGGGGGUAAGCGUUGUUCGGAAUUACUGGGCGUAAAGGGCUCGUAGGCGGCCAACUAAGUCAGACGUGAAAUCCCUCAGCUUAACUGGGGAACUGCGUCUGAUACUGGAUGGCUUGGAUUUGGGAGAGGAAUGCGGAAUUCCAGGUGUAGCGGUGAAAUGCGUAGAUAUCUGGAGGAACACCGGUGGCGAAGGCGGCAUUCUGGACCAAUAUUGACGCUGAGGAGCGAAAGCCAGGGGAGCAAACGGGAUUAGAUACCCCGGUAGUCCUGGCCCUAAACGAUGAAUGCUUGGUGUGGCGGGUAUCGAUCCCUGCCGUGCCGAAGCUAACGCAUUAAGCAUUCCGCCUGGGGAGUACGGUCGCAAGGCU